CAGCCGCCACGGGAAUACAGAGGGUGCGAGCGUUAAUCGGAUUUACUGGGCGUAAAGCGUGCGUAGGCGGCUUCUUAAGUCGGAUGUGAAAUCCCUGAGCUUAACUUAGGAAUUGCAUUCGAUACUGGGAAGCUAGAGUAUGGGAGAGGAUGGUAGAAUUCCAGGUGUUGCGGUGAAAUGCGUAGAGAUCUGGAGGAAUACCGAUGGCGAAGGCAGCCAUCUGGCCUAAUACUGACGCUGAGGUACGAAAGCAUGGGGAGCAAACAGGAUUAGAUACCCCCGUAGUCCCUGUCUCUUAUAC
rnacentral:rRNA from 1 species